rnacentral:lncRNA from 1 species
ACGUUCAAUUUCUCUCUCAUCUAGAAAUCUUCAUCGAUAUGUUUGUAAGAUCCCUUGCUUCUAAAUAUAUUUUUGAGUAGAUCGUUAUUGUAGAGAGUUAAAAUCUUACUUCUUUAUUGAUUAGAUCUAAAUAUUUUAACUGUAAUCUGAUACCCUAAUCAUGGAUAGUUUCUUAAUCGUCUACAGUCUGAAUCUAAAUCUAGGGGCUG